GGGGGCCGCACAGCUGACAGCAGCCCCCUCAGCCCAGCAGGCAUGUGGGUCAGGGCGCCACGCUGGGGAAGGUGGGCAGAUGGCAUCCCGCGCUCCCAGGCCUGCUUGGGUGGAGACAGCUCGGGAGGCUCGGGCUUCAGGAGCUGGGGAGGGGCAGCCACAGUCUGCACGGGGAGGGAGCCCCACCAACGGGGUCAGGGAGCGCCCCAGCGGAGAGCCCCGGUAGCCGUGGAGACCAAGGCAGAGCAGCCCGGAAGGAUGGCAGCCCCAGGGGAGCAGACCACGACCCAGCGCCCAGGAAGAAAGGGUCUCAGCAGAGGGGGUCUCGCUGCCGACGCGUGACACAAACAGAACGGGCCGGUGACGAGUGCAGCGCACCCAGGGCAGGAGAGGGCUGCGCUCCUGCGCCCGCCUUCCAGCUGAACACUGAGGAGCAGGGCUGCGCUGUCCUCGGAGCAGAGCAGCGAGGGGCUGGCCCACAGCCUGGCUGCAGGGGACAGCAGCAAGGAUCCGACGCUCUCGGGUGAGUACAGGUAGUGCUGCGGUGGUUGGUUAUGAGUUGAUGAAACCUGAUUCAACAGAGACCUUUCCCCGCCUGGAUCUUGGCCCUAGAUGCCAAGCUAGCUGUGUGUAGUCCUGCUGCACCCGCGAUCCAGGAGCAGAGCUCUGGAUACAGUGCACUGCCUGCUUCCGGCGCCUCGGCCACAGCCAGCCACAACCAGCCUGGGCACCGCCCACCACCGCUCCAAGUCCCGGCGCUCCUCAGGCUGACUGGGAAGGCCUCUUCGAGGGGGCAGGGAAAGGGAGAGGGGAGGGAGAGAGAGCGAGCGCCUGUGCUGGUGCAGGGCAGAGGCUGUGGAGGCACUCGGCAGUUCUUGGGGCAUCAGGAAAGGAAAGGUCAGCAGCACUGGGGAUCCAUGCAGGGGUCCUGUCUCCACAGCAGUUCAAGGAAAACACAGAAAACAAACACGAAAAGCCAUGUGGGGCUCUGGUCAGUCACAAGACAGAGGUCUCUUGGGGCUCUGAAACUGACCUUCGCUGCUCGCUGCUCCAUGCUAGCUGCUCAGACACAGCUCAGGCACAGCAGAGCAUCGGCUCACAGCCCUGCCUCCCGCCCAUCUGCAGUAAGGUCCUCCGCUGGGAUGCUGGGCUUGGGACCUCCUCUGUGGACGCACCUGCCAAUGAGCCAUCCCCUCUUCAGAAGGAUGGGGCGCCCAAGCCCUCCUGCCCGGGGCCCCACGUCAGGGAGAGUGUAGCUGGGCAGGGGAGGUGGUGCACAGCAACACCCCUCCCUCCAGGGUGCCCCUGGGGUCUCAGAGGAAGCAGAGGGAGUCCAGACAGAGCUGAGUGCCACGACCUCUCCUGGUGCCCGAAGGCUCUGGGGGGCAGCAGGCGGGGAGGGGCAUGGUGUGGCCAGAUGAGGGACCUCCAGGGCCACCUGCUGUCUGCCUCUCAGCCCAGCGCUGCAGGCAGGGAGGCUUUGCCCAGGUGCCAGGGAGGCCUAGCGGGAUGGAGCAGGG
rnacentral:lncRNA from 1 species